rnacentral:rRNA from 1 species
UACGGAGGGUGCGAGCGUUGUCCGGAAUCACUGGGCGUAAAGGGCGCGUAGGCGGCUUGGGAAGUCCGUGGUGAAAGCCCGAGGCUCAACUUCGGGUCGGCCAUGGAUACUCCUAAGCUCGAGUCGACUAGAGGCUAAUGGAAUUCCGGGUGUAGCGGUGGAAUGCGUAGAGAUCCGGAAGAACACCGGUGGCGAAGGCGGUUAGCUGGGGUCGGACUGACGCUGAGGCGCGACAGCGUGGGGAGCAAACAGG